rnacentral:rRNA from 1 species
UACGGAGGGUGCAAGCGUUAUCCGGAUUCACUGGGUUUAAAGGGUGCGUAGGAGGGCAGGGAAGUCAGUGGUGAAAUCUCCGGGCUUAACUCGGAAACUGCCGUUGAUACUCUCUGUCUUGAAUCCCGUGGAGGUGAGCGGAAUAUGUCAUGUAGCGGUGAAAUGCUUAGAUAUGACAUAGAACACCAAUUGCGAAGGCAGCUCACUACACAAUUAUUGACUCUGAGGCACGAAAGCGUGGGGAUCAAACAGG